rnacentral:lncRNA from 1 species
AACCCAGAAGGGAACAUUUCCCAGCCUGCUUUGCAAGCCAGGGGCGACAUGACUGAGAUCCAGCCAAUCAGACACGAGCAGAAGUGAGGCGUGCAGCUCCCUGUCACAUCUCAACAGCCUCAGGAAGCAGCGGGAUGGAGACCGCGAAUGUCCGCUCUGCAGGUGAACACCGCCUGCAUACUCGUGUCCAAGGCUGGUGGAGAGGCCUGUGGAAGCCAGUUGGUACAAUCCGCGUGUGAGCUUCGUGAGUAAGCGGUCACGCAGAAGAGACACUCUGCGUUCAGAUGCACACAGGAAACCUUAACAUCAAAUGUAGUUCAAAAGAACCAUAAAUUAUUAUUAUUCACCAUGGUCCAUAAUAAAUUAUGAUAGUAGUUAACUAAUGUGAAUAAAG